rnacentral:misc_RNA from 1 species
CGCAUGAGCAACAGGACGGAUACAGUCCUAGAGUCAACACGGGACACGUCAGGCUUCCGUAAGGGACAAUUGAUUCAGGCAACAAGGGGUCAAGGACCUCGAUCGAUCAUGCUUCUACAUACAGGACUUCGAGCAACAAUUGGGCGUUCGACGCUUGCAAGCUAAAUAGGCAAAGCAAGGCGGACGUCCAGUGGAGCUUCAGGGUCUAGUUCGCACAUAUCAUUAUGGCACGAGAUAGAAGAGGUACCGUGGGACUAGGGAAUUCCGUCAAAAUAGGUAUGCUACACAGGGGGCCAAGCCAAUCCAAGGCAAAUUAUUUAGCACUCGGACAGAAUUGAACAGGUGUGAACCAGCGAUUGUCGCUGCCAAGGCAGGGAACCAACCAACCGGAACAUACC